GAAAUUUCUUAGGCAGAGAAUGAGGGCAAGGAUGUCCUCGGUAAGGUUUUCUUUUUAAUCAAAAGCAGCCCCCAGAUCAUUUCUUUUACUAACAAAGAGCAGCCUGUAAAAUCGAGCUGCAGACGUAGAUAAGCAAGCUGGAAACUUGCACGGGUGAAUGCUGGCAGCUGUGCCUACAGGAAAAUGCUACCUGGGGGCCAAAAUGUCAUGUUCAACUUUUCUUCCCUUUUCUUUGUCAACCACAUGUACAGUAAGGAACAGACAACAUGGCGCCGGCCAGAUAGAGACUCCAACUGCAUAAUAAAAGAUUAGGGUGGAAUGGCCAGCUUUUUCACGCACUAUGCAAACGUCACACCUGGCCCAACCAAUCGCUCAGGCCCUAUGUAAAUCAGACACCACCUUCUCAAUUUUGUCUGUAAAACCCCGCGCACCCCCACCCCGUGCUUUUCACCACAAAACCGGAAGAUCCACUCGGGAGCCUCUCUCUCUGCAGGAAAGAAAGCUAUUCUCUUCUCUUUCUUUCGCCUGUUUAACCUCCACUCUUCAACUCACUUCUUGUGUGUCCGUGUCUUCAAUUUCCCUGGCGUGAGACAAGAAACCUCGAGUAUUUGCCCCAGAUAGUGACGCCGCUUCAGCAGGACCUCAGCUUUGACUCUGAGUGACAUGGGAGCCAUCGGAGAGCUCUGAGUCCAGCCGUGACCUGAUGUGAUUUGUAAAUGAUCCCUCAGGUCAAUAUAUCCACAACACCUGACCCAGAACAGGUGCUUGGCAAAGGCUUAGCACAGCACCUAGUACUCAGAUGCUCACCUGAUGCUUAUCCCAUGAGUGGAUGGAUGGAGGGAUGAGCUACAAAAACCCAAGGGCUAUAUUUUUGCGUGUCUGACACCCAUGGCUCCACCUGGACCUGAAGGCUCCUGUGACCCCACCCAGGAGUGACUCAGUUCAAGACAACAGCUUUGACCCCCUCUGAUUUCAUCUCCACUCCAACCAAUCAGCAGCAAGCACCCAUUGCCUGGCCACCCCCACCCUUUACCCAAACUGCCUUUGAGCCUUGGAGGAGAUUGGUUUGAGUGUGGCGUGGCUGGCUACAAGUCAAUUAAAUUCUUUCCUUACUGCUA